rnacentral:rRNA from 1 species
GACGAACGCUGGCGGCGUGCUUAACACAUGCAAGUGGAGCGACGAACCGGGGCUUGCCCCGGGGCAGAGCCGCGAACGGGUGAGUAACACGUGGGUAACCCACCCCGAUGACCGGGACAACCCGAGGAAACUCGGGCUAAUACCGGAUGUGCUCCUUGACCUCGAGGUCAAGGCGUAAAGAUAGCUUCGGCCUUCGCAUCGGGACGGGCCCGCGGCCCAUUAGCUUGUUGGUGGGGUAAAGGCCUACCAAGGCGACGANGGGUAGCUGGUCUGAGAGGACGAUCAGCCACACUGGGACUGAGACACGGCCCAGACUCCUACGGGAGGCAGCAGUGGGUAAUCUUGCGCAAUGCGCGAAAGCGUGACGCAGCAACGCCGCGUGGGGGAAGAC